rfam:Prevotella copri CAG:164 genomic scaffold, scf236
UCCCUGAAUGUAAUCGAGGGAGUGACUCUCGCCAAAAGAGCGAGGGCCGGAGCAAGGUCAGCUUCGGCAAAUUAUUAACUUGGAUGCAGAGACCACAUCCUUGAAUA